AUUUCUAUUUAGUUCUUUAACACUAAUUAAAGAAUUAUUGUUUUACAUAAUACCAUUUGCGUAUGGAACUUUUGUAUCCUGUAAGUUUUACAGCUUAUGUUUUCCUAAAAACAAUGCUAGUCAUAAUGCACUGAGAAUUUAUAAAAAAAAAACGUAAUAUCAAGCAAUACUGGCUACAAAGCACCAUGAGAUUCAAAACAAACACGGGACACUCUAUAUUGAAAAAAGUCGAAUUCAGUAUUUUCAAUAUUUCAUUGUAUAAAUAGUAAUUACACUGGGACGCCUGUUUAUUGUUUAAGACUUAUUGCUGCACUCGUUGUCGGUUGUUUAUCAUUGUCGUUUAGUUGGUGAAAUAUCUUGAUAUUGAUAUAAAAAUCAGAAGGAUAUCAUAUUGGAUAAGAAUAUUAAAAGGCAAACAAGAAAAACUAUGCUACAUUGUGUUCAAUCUACUGCUGAAUUUAGAAAAUGAUUCCACUUAAAUCUGCAUGGCUAAAUUAUAUUUCCAAUAUUUUUAAUGAAUGUGGUCCCUCCUACAUAUGGACUAAUCAGUUAUAAUUGUGAUUGGCUAAAACAUACGAUUAGAACUAGUCUCCAGGACAAAUUUAUCCAAACUUGGAGUUCAAAUAUUAAUAACAGUCCUAAAACGGUUAACUAUUGCAUUUAUAAAGAAAGUUUUGCUUUCGAGAACUAUUUCAACCAGCUAGACGA
rnacentral:lncRNA from 1 species